UACGAAGGGGGCUAGCGUUGCUCGGAAUGACUGGGCGUAAAGGGCGCGUAGGCGGCUCGCUUAGUCAGGUGUGAAAUCCCCGGGCUUAACCUGGGAACUGCAUUUGUGACUGCAUAGCUAGAGUACGGGUAGAGGGGGAUGGAAUUCCGCGUGUAGCAGUGAAAUGCGUAGAUAUGCGGAGGAACACCGAUGGCGAAGGCAAUCCCCUGGACCUGUACUGACGCUCAUGCA
rnacentral:rRNA from 1 species